CAAUCGAUGGUGGGCAACGAUGAAGUGGAAGGAAAACCAGAAACGGGAAGACAUUUUACACAACACAGAGACAGGAAGAUCAGCUGAGCUGACUACAGUGGUGAGCCUUACAGCUGAGAGUGUGCCAGACCAAUGACAGAACAACCUGAGCUGCCACAGAGCUGCACCAAGACCUGAAAAACCUUGCUCGGCUCAGCAGCUUCCUUGGACUUGCCUUGCUUCCCAAAGACCGAUAGAGCCCCUACCAUUUGGAAAAAAACAGGGGGAUGCUCUAUUGCCCCCAAAUGGUGUGCUUUUGUUAGUUUGGAACCACCAUAUAAGCUAAGUGGUCCGAGGCAGAAACCAAUCCAGACUGUGUGCAAUGGCUGCUGAUGUCAUCAGAAGCAGCCCAGAAUGACAGAAUGCAUGUGACUACAAAGGAAAACAAAGCUACUUUCUUCUGAAGGUCUGACUAUUCAGUGCAGUGGUGUCUUUACUGAGUCUCUCCUUUACCGUGGCAGUGAAGAAGACACUUGGGGGCUUUGAUAGCACUGAUGUACUCAUUGAACAAGUAUUUAGUAAGUGUCUCACCGGAGAAGCCCACGCUGUGUUGGGAUUUGAAGGCAAAUGGAAAUGAGAAACGUUUGCAGAUAGUCCAUUGUGGUCCCUGCGGUCUGGUUGUGGGAGACAAAUAUUAGAGGGGAAAAUGGUCUGUGGAAAACACAGAACUCAGUCAUAGUGAAAACUCAGGAGAGCAUGGGGCUUACAGUGGAAUUGGGAGAAAUUGGCUUAGCUGAGACCAAUGAAGACUUCCCUGAGAAGUCAAAAUAAUUAGAAUCUGCUACAACACAUGGAAGAGGAAAUUGAGGAAAGCCAGGAACAUAUGCAGAGGCAAACGUGAAGGGACAGAUGUUCACUGACGAUGCUCCGUACUCGGUGGGCCAGCAGCCUCCAUAUCACUUGGAGCAGGUUAGAAAUGCAGAGACUCGGGCCUCACUCCAGAAAUAUGGAAUUUGUGUUUCAACAAGAUUCCCAAGCCAUCUGGACACACCUUGAAAUUUGAAAAGCUAAAAGAAGAUCAGCAAGACUGUGGCUCAAACAGUGUUGGGUGGGACAUGAUAUGAAUCCUGGCUGGUUUGUAGGGACAACCCCACACUCACACUUUUAUUGAUCAUUUUUAGGAGUUUGCAUUUAUUUUAACAGUACGUGAAGAAAUUGAGGACUAAAAUUUGGUGUGGUAGGAUGGAAUCUAGUGACAAGGUUAAAAUUGUUGUUUUUAACUUAAGUUCAAUUUUAAAUUGAGAUGUAUAUUGGUAGAAGAAUGUCCUGUUAGAUGUAAAGUGGCCUCUACAGGUUCAUGUGUUUGAACUCCUGUGUCACUCAUGACUGUUUCUCAGAGACUGUGGAAAUGCUGGAAAUAGGGCCUAACUGAAAGCAAACGUUCACUGUGGGUGUGCCCUUAGCUCCAUAGCAUGGCUCCACUUCCAGCCCAGCUCAACUUCCCUGCCCACUAGGAUGUGAGAACGUGCCUUCAUGCUCCUUCAGCCACGGCAGAGUGCACAGAGAGCUGUUCCAACCACCACCACGCCUUCUCCACUUCAAUGGACUACACUCUCCAAGUGCAACAAAAUUAAUCCUUCCUCCUUAACUGGCUUCUUAUUAGGCAAUUUUAUCGCAAUAAAGGAAAACAUAAUUAAUGCUGAGGAUUAUCUCAAAUUUGCAAGAACAAUGCUGUUACAACAUUUGGGGAUUUAGCACAAUGGUAGAGCACUUGUAUAGCAAGUGCAAGACUCUGGCUCCGUUCUUAGCUCAGAGGUCAGGAGUGGAGUAAAGAAGAAGGAUGCUGUGAUAAGUCAAGCAAGAUAAUACCGGAGACUGAAGGAGAAAAGAAAAUAGAGACAGGCGAGUAGACUUGAAGAAUACUCAGGAAAUGUCAGCCAAGCAUGGUAAUGGUCAGAAAUAAGAAUGAGCAUGAGGUGUGAAAAACUAUGAGAUGACUUAACACACUGAUUAACAUGAUCUUUGUCAGUCUUUUCCUAUUGAUACACACAAGACCCACCGUCCUAGAAAAUGCUCAAUAUUCAUUGUGCUGAAUGGAGAAAAAUCAAAGAUCGUUUUAGGGGUAAGGCCGUGCACUGGGAUUUGAAAUCGUUGUUGGAGACUUGAAUAAGUUAAGUUGUACCUCCAAAUAUAUGAACCCUUAGUACCUGUGAGUAUGGCCUUAUUUGGAAAUAGGGGUUUUGUGGAUGUGCACGGGUUAAAAUAAAGUCAUAUUGGAUUAAUGCACUGUCCCUAUUCAGAUGCAAGAACCCAUAUAUGGAAAGAAUUUAGAGACAAAAAGAUACAUAAAAAGUCAUGUGAGGUUGCAGGCAGAAGUGGAAGGGCUCCCUCUAUAAGCCAUUAAUGGUGAGAACUGCUACACCCACUAGAAGCUCCAUGAGAGGGCCAUUGAGCUGAUUAUUCCCCUAGAGGUUCCAGAAGGAAGCAGCCUCUUUAACACAUUGUCUUCAGACUUCCAGCCUCUAAAACUGAGAAAAUAAAUUUGUGCUAUUUUAAGCCAAGUGAUCAUCGGUAUUUUGUGAAUUGCCUGGUAUGAAGACACUUAAGGAGGAAGGAUUAAUUUUGUUACACUUUGAGAGUGUAGUCCAUUGUGGUGGAGAAGACAUGGUGGUCGUAGAACACAGAAGACUAAAGGCAGAAUGCCGUUCUGAUAUCAAAGAGGAAAUGUCAAUGAUUAGUCUUAAAUUUGAAGCAAAUACUAUAAUGAAGUUUCUGACUCACAGCCUGUUAUCAUUAGAAUAAAGGUCCUUGAUUAUAUG
rnacentral:lncRNA from 1 species